AAGGCUGCAGGCUGGCGGUACUCUUGUGACCCUGAUAGAAGGUGGGAAGCUGCUGAAAACCGAACCUGUUUCCAUCGUAGUAAGCGUCGGCCUCGAUGUAGUCAAAGUCUAGCCCAAUCCGCUUGUUAGGAUUUCGGAUGCUCAUGUUGAGGCUGAGGUUGUAUUGGAGAUUGUUGGUGGUGUUGGCGAGGUUGAACUGGGAGAGGGUGGCGCUGUCAACGUGGACUUCGAGCUUGUUGGGGCGGAAGACGAGCCAUAGGACGAGGACGAUGAUGCCGAGGAUAACGAUGAUGGUGAUGAU
rnacentral:misc_RNA from 1 species